GCCCAAGGUAGAGGCGCAAUAACUAUCAGUAAGCUCUAAGAGAGUGAUGUCUAAGAUGAGAGCUGAAAGGAGUUAUUGCCGAAGUAUUGGAAGUUAUCGCCUUUCAAUGCUGGGGUUAUAUUCGAAUAGAUAUAACACUGCCAUAGUCUAUGUUGUUGUUAAACUAUGGAGCGCUACUGUAGGG
rfam:Vibrio nigripulchritudo str. SFn1 chromosome, complete genome.